rnacentral:sRNA from 1 species
GCCAGGUAAGGUGGCACAUGCCUGUAAUCCUAGUGGCUUGGGAGGCUGAGGCAGGAGGAUCAUGAGUUCAGUGAGGCCCUGUCUCUA